UUUAAAUGUAAAAUUAGUUAUUAAAGUAGUAUUAGUUAUGUUCUUUAAAUUUAAAAAUUUUGGCGGUAUUUUAGUCUAUUUAGAGGAACCUGUUCUAUAAUUGAUGAUCCACGAUUAACUUUACUUAUUUUUUUAUAAUUAGUAUACCGUCGUUAUUAGAAAAUUUUAAUAGAAUAUAAAUUUUUAAUAUUUUAUAUUAAAAAAUAUAUCAGAUCAAGGUGCAGUUUAUAUUUAAGUAGAAAUGGGUUACAAUAAAUUUAUUUAUAUGGAUUUAAAUAUUAAAAUUUUAAUGAAGGUGGAUUUAAAAGUAAUAAAAUUAAUUUAAAUUUUAUGAUUUUAGCUCUAAAAUAUGU
rnacentral:rRNA from 1 species